UAAGGGCAACAUCGCUGCAGCCAAUGGAGUACUCUCAUUGGCUCUGGGCUGGAUACUGGACUGUUCAUUGGAGCCCUAAAGCGGUUGGAUGUUAGAUCCCCGGAGUGGUUGUGAGUCGUGACACCUCCCUUAGGCUUCCACAGGGUGGUGAGGCUGAGUAUGGGUCUGGGCUCCAGAGACUGGUCCAUUCAGGUCUGCGUCUCCCCCCAUCAUCCCUUGGCUCCACCCCAGGAAUGUGGCUUGAUUGCGGUUGGACUCUCCCCCUGACACACUGACAUAUAGGGUUGGGAUGGGCCUGGACCAACCCCCAACCUUGACACUGAACAUGGGCCUAGUAGGGCCUCCUAGCUCCUGCUUGCUCCUGGUCUUGGGGCUCACGUUCCCCUUAAAAGCAAAUGUUAGUUUUAAAAGUAAGUUUGAUAAGACGUUGUCUUGUGUGGGCCGUCCUGCCAUCCGUGGACCAUGGAGGAGCAGGGUUUGAUGUAUGGUGCCAGAUGCCCAGUGCCAGAUGUUACAACGUGGGUUGAAGUUGUGGGUUUGCCGUGCGUCUCUGUUUCAGAGCUGGGAGUACAUAUAUAGUGCCAGGAGAACUGUCUGCUGAUGAGAAGGUGGCCUGGUUACAGGGUAAAUGGAAACAAGAUGUGGCGGCCCCGCACUCCUUUGAAGGUGUUCCACACCAUACCUCUGAAUCUGUGGAGGAGAAUUUAGACCUUUUCCAAGAAGGCCUGAUGAAAGAGUUACCCGGACGACUGACCCUCCUUCCAGAGAAACUUGGGUCAUCACAUGGCUGAGAUAGGACUCUGCCAAGGAGCUUCACAACAACCUACUCCACAUUUCACCCACAUCACUCCCUUGAACCAACACAUCUUUAGUAACUCAACAUAAGAUAUAUGGCAUGUGUGUUCCAAGAACAGAGAGAGAGUCUGGUCAAUCUCAAGUAAUGACACAGAGGAAAAUAUUAUUAAUUUCUAAGAUGGAUGGAUGUCAAUAAACCAGAUGCUUUUGUACAUGUAAUAUUGAACAGUAACCUUCCAUAAAACCAUAUAUUUCCUGGUAGACCUGAGUAAAAUAAGUUAAACCUUGAGAACUACUUGAGAACUCAAAAUGAUUCGUUAUGCCUCACAAUCAGGGGCGAAAAUCUGAUAUCCACUUUGGAGGGGACAAUUACAUGAAAUUUUCUCAAGAACAAUUCCUGAGGGGGACACCAAAAGUAGUGCUGUA